rnacentral:tRNA from 1 species
GCCUGGGUGGCUCAGUCGGUUGAGCAUCUGACUUCGGCUCAGGUCAUGAUCUUGCAGUCUGCGGUUUCAAUCCCCGCAUCAAACA